rnacentral:snoRNA from 1 species
AAGACACAACCUUUAUGUAAUUCAAGAAAGGGUACUUGUGGACCCACAAGUGUAAGUAGUGUGCUACAUGAGGGGCAAGGCUUUCGCUAACACUACACUCUGGCCCAGUGGGUGGAGCUUGAUAGUAAGCCUUGCUACAAGU